GUACCAUUUGUUUCCCAUUCUGGCUAACGUUUAAUCUUCCAGGGAAUUGUGGCUGCCUCUGGUGGUAAGUACGGGCCUCGUGGAUCCAGGCGCUGGGAGGAUACGCUGCUGAAUAUCACCAAUGGGGUAGAACGAUGGUGUUUGGUUUCUAAGGCAAAUUGAAUUUUUGUAAGAUGAUUGGAUACAGCCGUGAACCUUGACCCUGUAAACCGGGUAGAUGAGUGGCUCAGGUAUUCUAGUACCGUGUGUGUCGUGGAUUCAGUGCUGUGCCGGGUUGAGGGAGGAACCGCAUAUCUUAACAUACUGGUCUUACAUGACUGCUUCUCGGUCCGCAGAGGUGCACAUUCACUUGGAAAGGCCCAGGGCCCAGGAGAAUCAGUCACCCAGCUCCCUCUGAACACGGUUGUGCUGUUUGUUGAGCGUUGCUUCCAGAGGAAGCAUUAAGAUUCUGGGAUUGCCUAUGGAUUACUUCGUCGUGGAUGUCGGUGGAAGCUAAUACAGGAUCACAUUAUCAGUGUUGAUUAGUGCCGCGCUCCUGACGCUCUUCACCCAUUUAUAAGGGGAUUUGCAAGCCAGGGGGGGCAAGGGGGUGUGAGCUUCCCUCUGGGGCUCUGGCAUCGAGAAUGCUGACGGGGUAUCUGAGGCUCCCCUGGGGAAUCCCAGUGUUGGCUGGAUGGCUUCUUGUUCUUCUCUGUUGAAUGGGUAAAGUUCCUUUUUAGCUUUUCCCAAACUCUGUUAGACGCCUUAUUUCCUGAAAGAGAAAAGAAAAGGCAAACAAACUAUGAAUCGUGGAGCUGACAGUUUCUCCCUUCGCUUUUUCAGCCAGAAGAAUUAACGAGUUUGCACAGUUUUAAGAACAAAGCCUUUAAGAAACCCAAGGUCUGUGGGGUUUGCAAGCAGAUUAUUGACAGCCAAGGGAUUUCAUGCCGAGCCUGCAGGUACUGCUACCACAAGCCAUGUGAACCUAAGGUGGUGACUCGCCGCGGUGUGCAGGUGUACCUGGGACAGGUAAGUCCUCGCUGUUCCCUGGGGCCCCGGCUUGUCAUGCGGGACUGUCUCUGUCUUGAUGUGGGACCCUCUUUGGGGCUGUCAGGCUCCCUCUGGACCUCAGACAGGACCCACUCCACUCACAGAGCCUCUGCAUGGACCCCGGGCCUCAGGCACUCGCCCUAGCACGCUUUCCCUAGUGACCAGAGCCAUGCCUGCCUUUC
rnacentral:lncRNA from 1 species